rnacentral:tRNA from 1 species
GGUCCAUUCGUCUAGCGGUUAGGACGCCAGGUUUUCAUCCUGGUAGCAGGGGUUCGAUUCCCCUAUGGACUG